AGUGAACGCUGGCGGUAGGCCUAACACAUGCAAGUCGAACGGCAGCACAGUAAGAGUUGCUCUUACGGGUGGCGAGUGGCGGACGGGUGAGGAAUACAUCGGAAUCUACUUUUUCGUGGGGGAUAACGUAGGGAAACUUACGCUAAUACCGCAUACGACCUACGGGUGAAAGCAGGGGAUCUUCGGACCUUGCGCGAUUGAAUGAGCCGAUGUCGGAUUAGCUAGUUGGCGGGGUAAAGGCCCACCAAGGCGACGAUCCGGGGCUGGUCUGAGAGGAUGAUAAGCAAAACUGGACCUGAGAAACGGUCCAGACUCCUACGGGAGGCAGCGGUGGGGAAUAUUGGACAAUGGGGGCAAGCCUGAUCCAGCCAUACGGCGGGGGUGAAGAAGGCCUUCGGGUUGUAAAGCCCUUUUGUUGGGAAAGAAAAGAAGCAGGUUAAUACCCCGCUGUUCUGACGGAACCAAAAGAAUAAGCACCGGCUAACUUCGU
rnacentral:rRNA from 1 species